UAGUCAUAUGCUUGUCUCAAAGAUUAAGCCAUGCAUGUCUAAGUAUAAGCAAUUAUACAGCGAAACUGCGAAUGGCUCAUUAAAUCAGUUAUCGUUUAUUUGAUAGUACCUUACUACUUGGAUAACCGUGGUAAUUCUGGAGCUAAUACAUGCUAAAAACCCCGACUCACGAAGGGGUGUAUUUAUUAGAUUAAAAGCCAAUGCCCUUCGGGGCUCACUGGUGAUUCAUAAUAACUUGUCGAAUCGCAUGGCCUUGCGCCGGCGAUGGUUCAUUCAAAUUUCUGCCCUAUCAACUUUCGACGGCUGGGUCUUGGCCAGCCAUGGUGACAACGGGUAACGGAGGGUUAGGGCUCGACCCCGGAGAACGAGCCUGAGAAACGGCUAUUACAUCCAAGGAAGGCAGCAGGCGCGCAAAUUACCCAAUACCGACUCGGUGAGGUAGUGACGAUAAAUACUAAUACAGGGCUCUUUUGGGUCUUGUAAUUGGAAUGAGUACAAUUUAAAUCCCUUAACGAGGAACAAUAGGAGGGCAAGUCUGGUGCCAGCAGCC
rnacentral:rRNA from 1 species